CAUUCCGAUAAGGCUUAUAAACUUCAAGGUCAACCUCAUCUUAUGCUAAUGACCUUCAAAUUUGCAAAACUUGUUUAAAACCGAUCCAGUUCUCAGCGUCGGUUAAUGAUCAAGAGAUAUGAGAAUCUACAUAAUACAUAUAUUAUGAUAAGAAUGUAUUUAUAAAUACCUAUAUUUACUCUUUAUAUAAUUUAAUAUACCCUGAGAAGAGAUUUCGAAACAUAUACAGGAGUCGUUGCUUUUUAUUAAAGUCCAGUCAAUUGUUUAAUUAUUUCGAGUAUAAGUGCAUGAACAAAGUAUUGCCUAGAUCUUUUGAGUAGAGUAGGUACCAUGAAAAGUUGAAAUUUGAGCAAGCCAUCAAGCGGCAUGCAUGCCUCGACUAACUCAUGGGUUCAACCAUUUUUGAGGACGCCCCACAAACCUGGUUAGGUUGUGGGGCGUCCUCAAAAAUGGUUGUGUCCUAUCAACACACGACAUAAUAAAUACUUUUUGUGGCAAUAUCAGGAGACCCAUUCCUAACAGAAUCAAGAUCAGCAAAAGCGCUUAUAUAAAACUAGCUGAUGCACGCGACUUCGUCUGGACGGCUACGAAAGUAUCUAUAAGUUAGGAAUUUUCAAAAACGUUAAUCGUUUUACAGUGCACUCAAUAUCUCCCCGUUUUUGUAACAUAUUCAAUUGCUGUUUUGCUCCUGUUUGUCAUAGCGUGAUGAUAAACAAACAUAUAGCCUUCCUCAAUAAACAAGCUAAGAUUAUAUUGAAUAUUUACGACAAACUGAAAACAAAUUAUAUGAAAUAUCGAACACUGAAAGAUUUUAAAUCGGACUAUCAGUUCCCGAUAUUAGCGCGUUCAAAUAACCAAAUAAACUCUUCAGCAUUAUAAUAUUAAGUGAGACUUUUGACCGGAGUUUGUUUACAAACAUUGUAAAACAAAGUAUUCAUGCAGCAUGAAUCAUUGCAUCACACACAAAAAAAAUCACUUUCUAUCAACGUCCGAAUGACGACAAUGAACAAAUCAUAUGAUUUUAGCAAAUGUUUAAGUUUAACUGGAAUAGUGAUAAAACACAAUGUCACACAAUACAUCAUUAUUAAAAGAUAAAAUAGAGUGAAUCAUACCACAUCCUAUUAUACAAUUUCAAAUAGGAAUUGAAUCAUCAGACUUUCUGACGCUGUCGUGAAACGGGGACAACUUAUUCUAACUUAUUAGGGAAAGAUAAACAGUUGCAGUCAACUAUGUUGAGGUGGGCUUCCAGUUAAACUGGAUGCAGCUUAGUACCAGUGUUUUACGAGGAGCGACUGUCUAUCUGACCUCCUCAACCCAGUUACUUGGGCAACACGAUAUUCUCGAAUAAGAAUUAAGAGCUCUCGAGAGGAGAAGCUCAAACGUCAGAUGAAGACGAAGACGGUAACUUGCAAUGGGCAAAAAAAAGAAUCGAUUUUGCUUCAUCUGAGGAAUCUCUAGUGCCAUCCGUUGGCAGCGUAACGGAUAGAAGCGAAAGUGAUGAUGAAGACGAUUGAGAUGAAGACUUUGAAAAAGAUGAAGAGAAAAUGAAAAGAAUAGGGUUCUGGUGACGAUUCAUCGAGAUGACAAUAGCGAUUCUAGCGAUUACGAAUAAGUCCGUUAAACUUACUGAUUUCUGUCUUUAGAUCUCCUUUUUUAUAUUCCUUUUUUAUUAAUUAAUCUUAUUUCCAUUUUAUCAUCGAUAUUACUUUAUACAAUGUAUUUUUUCACGUACGUGAAAUAAAAUAAUAUGUUCUUAUCUUUUUUUCUCAAGAAUUCUGAGCCUUGAGGUCACCGUACCAAACCCACUGCGCGUAACAUGUCGCGGAUUCGAUCUCCGCUGAGUCUGGGUGUGAUCAUCGAAGAAUACCAUUCUGGUCUGAAAAUUGGUGCGUCCAAAAACAAUUGGCUAUCAUGGAACCCGCUACGAAAAUUAUCAGAGGGUAUCUUACUGUCAGCAUAUUCUUGCAGUCUUUGAAGAGAGUUGCCGCUCUACGCCGCAACUGCUGUCAUAUAGCUUGAAGAUGUGCUGGCAGGAAUAAUGUAGCAAAUAGGAGGAUAAGGAAAGCAGUUCUCGCUUGCUAUAAGCGGACUUAUUUGUUGUCUAACCAAGCGAUUAUCACUGGAAACGAAUAGAGUCUGAAAUAGCUGAUAAACCUUCACAUUCAACAUUAGGAAGAUAACAUUUUUAACUAUAGUCGUAGCUAUGUAAAUUAGCAGAAACGUGAAACAGACCCGAUAAGGAAUUUUGCCAUUGUACUUUUAAACCUUGAUAAAAGCCUGGCAAGCACGAGCCGGACUUAAUCUAGAGUUCCGUACCAUCAAAAAUACCUGAAUAACCAUACUUGGUACUAGAUGAUGGGUUCCCUUUUCCACACAUAAGCUUUAAAUUA